AACGAACGCUGGCGGCAGGCUUAACACAUGCAAGUCGAACGCAUCCUCCGGGGUGAGUGGCGGACGGGUGAGUAACGCGUGGGAACGUGCCCUUCAGUUCGGGAUAACGCUGGGAAACUUGGGCUAAUACCGGAUACGUGCGAGAGGAGAAAGAUUUAUCGCAGAAGGAUUGGCCCGCAUCUGAUUAGCUAGUUGGUGGGGAAAUGGCCCACCAAGGCGACGAUCAGUAGCUGGUCUGAGAGGAUGAUCAGCCACAUUGGGACUGAGACACGGCCCAAACUCCUACGGGAGGCAGCAGUGAGGAAUAUUGGACAAUGGGCGCAAGCCUGAUCCAGCCAUGCCGCGUGAGUGAUGAAGGCCUUAGGGUUGUAAAGCUCUUUCGUCCGGGACGAUAAUGACGGUACCGGAAGAAGAAGCCCCGGCUAACUUCGUGCCAGCCGCCGCAGUAAUAC
rnacentral:rRNA from 1 species